CUUUGAACUCGUGAUCCUCCUGCCUCAGCCUCUAGAGCCACUGGGAUUAUACCUGGCAACACCCUUGCUUUUGAUAGGUGUUUGCCUCUGGAAGAAAUAGAACUGGUUCUGUGUUUAAAUCAAUGUAUUGCAGCCAAUUGCAAGUCAACUUCUGUUAUUGGGAGCAGCAGCCUUAGAGUAGAAAAACCAGCCUUGUUUCUGCCUUGAAGUUGAGAUCCUGCAAGAGAUAAUGUGAGAUUUUUCUAGCUGAUGAUUGGUUGUUAACUUUAUAGCUAUUUGGAGGUUAGCUUGAAUCUGAGAGAAGGCAUAUGUGUGGGACUUUGUGUGCUGGGGGUCAAUAAGAAAGUCUCAACAAUAGUCAGGACAGUGGAAAAUGGCUUGAGUCACAGACGGGAUUGCAUCCUUCACAGUGAGAACUGUCUGCCCCUCCCAUUCCCAGAGCCCUUAAGCAACCUGUCUGUC
rnacentral:lncRNA from 1 species